rnacentral:rRNA from 1 species
GAUGAACGCUGGCGGCGUGCCUAAUACAUGCAAGUCGAGCGAACAGACGAGGAGCUUGCUCCUCUGACGUUAGCGGCGGACGGGUGAGUAACACGUGGAUAACCUACCUAUAAGACUGGGAUAACUUCGGGAAACCGGAGCUAAUACCGGAUAAUAUAUUGAACCGCAUGGUUCAAUAGUGAAAGACGGUUUUGCUGGCACUUAUAGAUGGAUCCGCGCCGCAUUAGCUAGUUGGUAAGGUAACGGCUUACCAAGGCAACGAUGCGUAGCCGACCUGAGAGGGUGAUAGGCCGCCCGGGAACUGGGACACGCUCCAGACUACUACGGGAGGCAGCAGUAGGGAAUCGGCCGCAGUGGUCGAAAGCCUUGCGGAGCAACGCCGCGUGAGUGAUGAAGGUCUUCGGAGCGUAAAACUCUGUUAUGAGGGAAGAACAAAUGUGUAAGGAACUAUGCACGUCUUGACGGUACCUGAUCAGAAAGCCACGGCUAACUACGUG